AGGUUCAGGAAGAUUUGACUGAGGAGAAAAAAAGGCAACUGGAACAUAAUGCUGAGGAGACCUAUGGUGAAAAUGAUGAAAAUGCCGAUGAGAAAAACAAUGAUGGAGAAGAGCAAGAAGUUCGAGAGGACAACCGCCCCAAAGGCCGAGAGGAGCACUAUGAGGAGGAGGACGAGGAGGAGGAGGAUGGGGCGGCUGCUGCUGAGAAAUCACGGCGAAGAGCUGAAAUGUAGCAGUGCCCAAUCUCACAGACAGUGCUCAGCUGACGGAUUCUUUUCAAGCUGCUCAAAAAUAAAUCUGCCUACUGAACUCUAGGAUAUUUAAUUACAAAAAUUAAGAAUUUAGACUUUUUUAACUUUUAUAUUAGAAAUGCUCAUACAUUUAUAUGAAUAUAUUUUGAUAACCUAGCUUAGAGCCUCUUUUUAUAUUCAAGCAAAACAUGAAUGAGAAGAACAACAGCGAAGCAGACCUUAGGCUAUGAAUCUCAUUUUUCAUAGAUUAUGUGAUGUUGGAAGAGACAUUGAUUUUGUCUAUGUUUUAACUUGUUAACUUCUCUGUCUUCUAGUUUUCAGGUGUUCUGUUAUUUGCCUUUGAUGAAAUGCAGGGUUUCAAAAUAGGGAAUACUGCAAAAUGCUGUGCAGACUUUAAGAAGAAUGGUCAGUUUACUAACUGCUGCCUUUCCAAGGUUCUUGUGUAUAGUUCUGAAAGAAUUUUCACCAGUUUGUGUAUCUCUGGGAUAAGAGCCAUGGACAGAGUUACACACAGAGAGAUACUUUUGUUAUAAAGACACUGUUUUUCAGGCUUUUUAGAUCAGUUAGAAAAAUGUUUGGCUUUACUUAAAAUCACAGCUCUUCCUCUUGAAAGGAAUUACAUUUAAAAGUGAAACAAUACUAAAACUCACUUGACAGUAUUCUAGACUUAGAUAUUUCAGUAUUCAAACAAGGUAUGACACAUCAGUGUAUUAACCUUUUUGAAGGACUGACACCUUGUUUAAUAACUAAUUUAGUGUGUAUGGGUGGUGUCUUCCAUGUGAACACCCCUUCUUUCCUGGAGUCACCCAGUGAUAUCCUUUUUUAGUAUCUAGUUCUCUACAGUAAUAUAUAUUUCCUCUACAGGCUCUGUGCCCUAAUAUGUAAUCUUCGGUGACCAGCAUGAAUAUGAAGACAUGCCAAAUUGUAUAAUAGAAUAGGAUAUUUUUCAAAAACAUUGGUGAAAUAUACAUGGUGAUAUAGUUGACCCUCAUGAUUUCUCCAUUUGCUGGGAUUGGGUCUGAAUUAUGCCCAUGGAUAGACAUUUUAAUGAUUAUGAAUUAUUUUUAAAAAUCCCUUAAAAUAAAAAAAUUAAAAAUCAAAAAUUUCUCAUUGGGUAUAGACAUAUUUCAGUCUUGAACAUAGAUUUUUAACUCUAUAGAACUAGGUAAUAUGAUACGUAUGUGUGUGGUUUUAUAAUACUACUUUCAAAUUAACAAAAACAUUCAAUUUCUACCAUUGUUGUAAGAAUGUAAUUUUAUUUUUUAAUAACCACACUCAUGUAUGGUUUUGAUUAUCCCAGUUGAGUGAUUGUGUAUGUAUGCAUAGGAAUGUUUUAUUCAAAUGUAUUUUGGAUUUUCAGUAAUCAUAAAUCAGAUCUUACUUUUAUGUAUAAAAAUCCUUUAUGUAAUGUAAAAUGUAUAAUAUUGUACAUAAUAUUCAGAAUACAAUUAUUUUGGUAAAUUAGUUUGUAUUUUUAAUGUCCCAGUUCCAGUAUUUAAUUAUUUGAAACAUAUUGAAACUUGGUAAUAGUCAAUAAAGCUAUAAAAAGCAAGUGGUAAA
rnacentral:lncRNA from 1 species